GACGAACGCUGGCGGCGUGCUUAACACAUGCCAGUCGAACGGAAAGGCCCUGCUUGCAGGGUACUCGAGUGGCGAACGGGUGAGUAACACGUGGGUGAUCUGCCCUGCACUUCGGGAUAAGCCUGGGAAACUGGGUCUAAUACCGGAUAGGAGCCAUUUUUAGUGUGAUGGUUGGAAAGUUUUUUCGGUGUAGGAUGAGCUCGCGGCCUAUCAGCUUGUUGGUGGGGUAAUGGCCUACCAAGGCGGCGACGGGUAGCCGGCCUGAGAGGGUGGACGGCCACAUUGGGACUGAGAUACGGCCCAGACUCCUACGGGAGGCAGCAGUGGGGAAGAUUGCACAAUGGGCGCAAGCCUGAUGCAGCGACGCCGCGUGGGGGAUGACGGCCUUCGGGUUGUAAACUCCUUUCGUUAGGGACGAAGCUUUUUGUGACGGUACCUAGAUAAGAAGCACCGGCUAACUACGUG
rnacentral:rRNA from 1 species